AGUGAACGCUGGCGGUAGGCCUAACACAUGCAAGUCGAACGGCAGCACAGUAAGAGCUUGCUCUUACGGGUGGCGAGUGGCGGACGGGUGAGGAAUACAUCGGAAUCUACUUUUUAGUGGGGGAUAACGUAGGGAAACUUACGCUAAUACCGCAUACGACCUACGGGUGAAAGCAGGGGAUCUUCGGACCUUGCGCGAUUGAAUGAGCCGAUGUCGGAUUAGCUAGUUGGCGGGGUAAAGGCCCACCAAGGCGACGAUCCGUAGCUGGUCUGAGAGGAUGAUCAGCCACACUGGAACUGAGACACGGUCCAGACUCCUACGGGAGGCAGCAGUGGGGAAUAUUGGACAAUGGGCGCAAGCCUGAUCCAGCCAUACCGCGUGGGUGAAGAAGGCCUUCGGAUUGUAAAGCCCUUUUGGUGGGAAAGAAAAGCAGCAGGUUAAUACCCCGCUGUUCUGACGGUACCCAAAGAAUAAGCACCGGCUAACUUCGUG
rnacentral:rRNA from 1 species